rnacentral:rRNA from 1 species
GGGCCCGCACAAGCGGUGGAGCAUGUGGUUUAAUUCGACGCAACGCGAAGAACCUUACCUACACUUGACAUCCUCGGAACUUUCUAGAGAUAGAUUGGUGCCUUCGGGAACCGAGUGACAGGUGCUGCAUGGCUGUCGUCAGCUCGUGUCGUGAGAUGUUGGGUUAAGUCCCGUAACGAGCGCAACCCUUAUCCUUAAUUGCCAGCGGUUAGGCCGGGAACUCUAAGGAGACUGCCGAUGACAAAUCGGAGGAAGGUGGGGACGACGUCAAGUCAUCAUGGCCCUUACGUGUAGGGCUACACACGUGCUACAAUGGCCGGUACAAACGGUUGCGAACCCGCGAGGGGAAGCUAAUCCGAGAAAGCCGGUCGUAGUCCGGAUUGGGGUCUGCAACUCGACUCUAUGAAGCUGGAAUC